rnacentral:rRNA from 1 species
UCCCACCCUUGAAUAUUAUACCUUCGUUGCUUUGGCAGGCCGUGGAAACACCAGAGGCUCCGGCUGAUGCGUGCCUGCCAGAGGAAACAAACUCUGUUUUUAGUGAUGUCUGAGUACUAUAUAAUAGUUAAAACUUUCAACAACGGAUCUCUUGGUUCUGGCAUCGAUGAAGAACGCAGCGAAAUGCGAUAAGUAAUGUGAAUUGCAGAAUUCAGUGAAUCAUCGAAUCUUUGAACGCACAUUGCGCCCCGUGGUAUUCCGCGGGGCAUGCCUGUUCGAGCGUCAUUUCAACCCAUCAAGCUUCGGCUUGGUCUUGGGGCCUGCGGUUUCGCAGCCUCUAAACCCAGUGGCGGUGCUAUUGAGCUCUGAGCGUAGUAAUUUCUCUCGCUAUAGAGUCUCGGUGGUGACUUGCCAACAACCCCCAAUUUUUAUCAGGUUGACCUCGGAUCAGGUAGGGAUACCCGCUGAACUUAAGCAUAUCA